rnacentral:rRNA from 1 species
GUGAGGAAUUUUGCGCAAUGGGCGAAAGCCUGACGCAGCAACGCCGCGUGAGUGAAGAAGGCCUUCGGGUCGUAAAGCUCUGUCAAGUGGGAAGAAAUUGCAGGGUGUAAAUAGCAUUUUGCAUUGACGGUACCAUUGAAGGAAGCACCGGCUAACUCUGUGCCAGCAGCCGCGGUAAUACGGAGGGUGCGAGCGUUAUUCGGAUUUAUUGGGCGUAAAGGGCGCGUAGGCGGUUUUAUAAGUCAGAUGUGAAAUCCCGAGGCUUAACUUCGGAAGUGCAUUUGAAACUAUGGGACUUGAGUAUGGGAGAGGGAAGUGGAAUUCCUGGUGUAGCGGUGAAAUGCGUAGAUAUCAGGAGGAACACCGGUGGCGAAGGCGACUUCCUGGACUAAUACUGACGCUGAGGCGCGAAGGCGUGGGGAGCAAACAGGAUUAGAUACCCCUGUAGUCC